rnacentral:rRNA from 1 species
AUGGUGUGGUUGUUGAACUCCGUGGUGCCCUCCAUUGGACGCUCUGUGGAGGGGCUAUCCACACCUGCUGAGAUAUGUAAGAUUCUGUCCACCCAAUACUCUGGCAAGGGCAAUGUCAUGCUCAUUGCUCAGAUUGAGGACAAGAUUAGGUUGUUGCGCCAAGAUGAUGGCAUGUCAGUGAUGAAAUACGUGGCAGAACUGCAGGCUCUGUGGGCUGACCAGGAUAACUGUGAUCCCCUGGAACUCUAUGACGCGGCUUCAAUCGAGUCAGGGCACAAGUGGAUGGCACGCAGGCGUGUGCUAAAAUUUUUGGCUGGCCUCAAAGGUUGCUUUGAUGGCAGGAAGGCUUCCCUGUUGCACCAACCUAGUCUGCCUACCAUUCCCGAGGCUAUUGCAGCGAUGACUCAAGAGGAGGUGCGCCUAUCCCUUGGGCAUGCAGAUGUGAAGGUUGUGCCAGCUUCGACAUUUGCCGUCACUGAGCGCAUGGAGUGGGGAGAUCCCACCAAAUGUCAUAUCUGUGGGGAGGUAGGUCACUGGAAGAGAGAAUGUCCAACUCAUGGCAGAGGCAGGGGAUAUAACAGAGGGGGAACAGGCAGAAGCAUAAGUGCUAGAGGUAGAGGUGGAUACUUAGAAACCUCAUGGGGCCAGGCUUCUAGAGGCAGAGGUGGCUACUCAGGACACUCAGGGGGUCAGAGGGCUCACAUGGCCGUUGCAGGAGACAAUGGGACGUCCAAAGGCAAAGAUGUAGAUGAUGUUGUCUAUGGAGACUUUGCUCACUGGGCCUCCACUAGGCAAUCCGGAAAGAGCAUCUCUUGCUACUAA